rnacentral:rRNA from 1 species
UACGUAGGGUGCGAGCGUUGUCCGGAAUUAUUGGGCGUAAAGAGCUUGUAGGCGGUUUGUCGCGUCUGCUGUGAAAAUCCGGGGCUCAACCCCGGACUUGCAGUGGGUACGGGCAGACUAGAGUGCGGUAGGGGAGACUGGAAUUCCUGGUGUAGCGGUGGAAUGCGCAGAUAUCAGGAGGAACACCGAUGGCGAAGGCAGGUCUCUGGGCCACUACUGACGCUGAGGAGCGAAAGCGUGGGGAGCAAACAGG